GAUACACUGGGGCACAAAGGACUGUUCUGACAGUGACACACGGUCAAAGAUCUUCUUUAUUUUCAUAUUUUGAGUGAACAAUGAGUGAAUGUACUCCAUGAAAAGUUUAUAAAUAUGGCAUGUCAUGUAUGCUUCUUAAAGCUCAAAUACAAGAAACGAGAAUAAGAAAAAGUUUGUGCCUGAGUAUGGAGGGGAAAAUUAUUCUGCUUUGCCUUAUGGUGCUUGUGUUGCUAGGAAAUCCCAUUCGCGCUGAGCAUUGCCAAACGCACGAUGAACCAGCCCCCCUGUGCACUAAUUUUUAUUGCCGGAAUUACUGCCAGAAUGAGUGGAACCAUGUCAAGAAAGCCUACUGCACCCACAAGUCUAUUUUUUGCCGGCAUUGCAUAUGCGUUGUUUGUGACUAGAGUUGCACUCUAACAUCAUGUCAAAUAAUGGACAAUGAUGUCCAGUAAUAAAAUCUUCUUGUGACA